UUCAUGCUCGAUAAGCCGGGUGUCAAUUACUGGGGUUUUUUGGACACUUUUUGAAAUGAUCGUAAAAAUCUCAAAAAUGCACUUAUCAAUGUGAAACACAAAUCAAAAUGUAAGGAAAACUGUGUUCUUUUAGAUGUACUUACGAAAGUUUUCAAAAAAAUAUCAACUUGAGCUGUAGAUUGUUUUUUAUCAAAAAGUAUCAAAAAUCUGUUCAACUACUGGCGACUUUACCCUACACACUCGAUAAAAAGUACCCCCUCUCUUCCAAAAAAUUGCAACUCUGAUCUGAAGAGAUUUCCAUCCAAAUACCUUAUCAGAAAAGAUAAGUUUUGAAAUAAAAAAUUCUUUCUGCACUAUAAAAUUUACUGAGAAUGAACCGGACAUGGCAGUCGGUGAUAAUCUACAGUAACUUAAAGUACUUACCUAUACCUAAAUAAUUUUAAACAAAAACGAGUUUUAAAAAUACAACUAAAGGCACGUGUUUCUGCGUUUUUCGAUUUCCGUAUACUUAGGCCACUUAACAAAUUUGUAAAAUGUUCAAAUCCAUCUUUAUUCUCGCGCUCUUUUUGAGCAUUGUUGUAGAUGGACGAAAAAAGGUAAAGACAUCCGAUGAUAAACGCACAAUGCAAUUAAGGGAAAUCGCAUUAUUGAAGAAAAAAUUCGAAGCGUUGACUCGGGAAGUCGAAGUACAGAAGAAGCUAAAUGCCGAGUUAUGCGUAUUAUUAGGUGACGACGGUUUAACAAUAAUUGACUAAUAGUCAGACACCAGCCGAGCGAAAAGCCCACACCAAAUAUGAGAAAAAAAUAAAUGAUCCCGUUUGUUUUCUGUGCUGCAAAAAGGUUCCCCCCAUUUUGAAAACUCCUAAACCACCUUCCGAGUGACCCACCCAGCUAAUAAAUUCAUCUACAGACUAUAAUAUUAACUCAAAAUACUUCAUAAAUGUUAAUUUCAAAGAAAUUGAAAAUCUUUGAAUUUUUUUACCCGUACCUAUUGCAUUUUUCCAAAUAGAAACAAAACCUGACAAAAAUAAAUUUUUUAAAAAAUCAGCCAUGAAAAAAAAAUCAGUUUUUCACAUUUUUGAUUGCCUCCACCCAUAUGAAAAAUUAUGAAAAAAAUAGAUUGUACGUGUAAUGUUAUCUAUUCAUCUAUGUGAGGUACACAAUUAUGUACUUUGUUCAUAUAGUACCUUUAAAAGAAGUGACCAAAAGUGCCGUUCAAAAGCUAAAGCUGCGCGUUUUGCCCAAAAGAUAUGCUUGAAAAAAAUUUCAAACAAUUUCCAUGAAUAACUUUUGGCAAUGUCUAACAUCCCUGCAAGUUUGAAAAAAAUCUGAUAAAAACUGUCAAAGUAUAGGAAAUUUUUAACUGAAAUUGCAAUUUCACUUCAUUUUGAAGAAGUUAAAGGAGAUUUGGCAAUCUAAAAAUUUUAUCACAGGUGUUUUGGACCAUACAAAAACCAACCUACGCUGGUUAGUUUGAAAAUUCGAGAAAUACUUAGGGCCAAAUCGCGUUUUAUUCCACUAUGCUCGUAGGUAUUUUUUUGUAGGUCGAAAAAAGAGAGGAGGCUGUGCAUAUUAUAAAAAUUUUUGAGAAAGAAGGAGAAAAAUUUGUAAAAAAAAAUGUUUAUUAGAAAUAGGUAGAUAA